rnacentral:rRNA from 1 species
AGUGAACGCUGGCGGCAGGCCUAAUACAUGCAAGUCGAACGGCAGCACAGCAGAGCUUGCUCUGUGGGUGGCGAGUGGCGGACGGGUGAGGAAUACAUGGGAAUCUGCCCAGUCGUGGGGGAUAACGUAGGGAAACUUACGCUAAUACCGCAUGCGCCCUUCGGGGGAAAGCCGGGGACCUUCGGGCCUGGCGCGAUUGGAUGAGCCCACGUCGGAUUAGCUAGUUGGCGGGGUAAAGGCCCACCAAGGCGACGAUCCGUAGCUGGUCUGAGAGGAUGAUCAGCCACACUGGAACUGAGACACGGUCCAGACUCCUACGGGAGGCAGCAGUAGGGAAUAUUGGACAAUGGGCGCAAGCCUGAUCCAGCCAUGCCGCGUGAGUGAAGAAGGCCCUCGGGUUGUAAAGCUCUUUUGUCCGGAAAGAAAAGCGCCGGGUUAAUACCCUGGUGUCCUGACGGUACCGGAAGAAUAAGCACCGGCUAACUUCGUGCCAGCAGCCGCGGUAACAC